CCUACGGGUGGCAGCAGUAGGGAAUAUUGCUCAAUGGGGGAAACCCUGAAGCAGCAACGCCGCGUGGAGGAUGAAGGUUUUAGGAUUGUAAACUCCUUUUGUUAGAGAAGAUUAUGACGGUAUCUAACGAAUAAGCACCGGCAAACUCCGUGCCAGCAGCCGCGGUAAUACGGAGGGUGCAAGCGUUACUCGGAAUCACUGGGCGUAAAGAGUGCGGAGGGGGGGUAAUAAGUCAGAUGUAAAAUCCUGUAGCUGAACUACAGACCUGCAUUUGAAACUGUUACUCUGAGGGGUGGAGAGGUAGGGGGAAUUUCUUGUUGAGGGGGUAAAAUCCUACGGAAUAAGAAGAA
rnacentral:rRNA from 1 species